rnacentral:snRNA from 1 species
GAGUGUGAGGGUGAUCUAAAUACAACAUCUUUCACCCCAUUGACCUCAAGCUUUGAUUUGGCUGAUCUGCCUGGAUAGUUUGGUGUCCCCUUUCUCCCUCAUUCCUGCUUGUGUCCCUCUUAAAGCUGUGUCCUUGCUGGAAGAUGACAACCCUCCUCACAUAAAGGAGGAGCUGAGUUCUGUCAAGAGCACAUGAGUAACUGUGCUCCCCAACUAGAACAUUCAAACAAGUUCUCAAAACUUAUAUGGAAUAUUUUUCUCUAGAAGAUAAUAAAGGUUAGCAUGCAACAUUAUUCAUAAAUUUGCUGCUGGUUUAUAUGAAUAUCCUGU